rnacentral:rRNA from 1 species
GACAGAGGUCUCAAGCGUUGUUCGGAUUCAUUGGGCGUAAAGGGUGUGUAGGAGGCGCGCUAAGUCGGGUGUGAAAUUUCGGAGCUUAACUCCGAAACUGCAUUCGAUACUGGCGUGCUUGAGGACUGGAGAGGAGACUGGAAUUCAUGGUGUAGCAGUGAAAUGCGUAGAGAUCAUGAGGAAGACCAGUAGCGAAGGCGGGUCUCUGGACAGUUCCUGACACUGAGACACGAAUGCCAGGGGAGCAAACGGG